rnacentral:rRNA from 1 species
UGGUAAUGCCGGAUGUUCCAGUUGAUCGCAUGGUCUUCUGGGAAAGCUUUCGCGGUAUGGGAUGGGGUCGCGUCCUAUCAGCUUGACGGCGGGGUAACGGCCCACCGUGGCUUCGACGGGUAGCCGGCCUGAGAGGGCGACCGGCCACAUUGGGACUGAGAUACGGCCCAGACUCCUACGGGAGGCAGCAGUGGGGAAUAUUGCACAAUGGGCGCAAGCCUGAUGCAGCGACGCCGCGUGAGGGAUGGAGGCCUUCGGGUUGUAAACCUCUUUUAUCGGGGAGCAAGCGUGAGUGAGUUUACCCGUUGAAUAAGCACCGGCUAACUACGUGCCAGCAGCCGCGGUAAUACGUAGGGUGCAAGCGUUAUCCGGAAUUAUUGGGCGUAAAGGGCUCGUAGGCGGUUCGUCGCGUCCGGUGUGAAAGUCCAUCGCUUAACGGUGGAUCCGCGCCGGGUACGGGCGGGCUUGAGUGCGGUAGGGGAGACUGGAAUUCCCGGUGUAACGGUGGAAUGUGUAGAUAUCGGGAAAGAACACCA